AUGCUGUCUGGUCAAGGGAGAACUAUGUCUUCAAGUAGACACUUGGCUAUUAUGACUCUUACGAGGAAAAGCAAGUACAAUGAUUACUGCAGGUGCUGUGCUUUGAAAUCCCAAGGGCACCCAUUCACCUCUCCUGCCUGAGGACCACUUCAGUGGAGAAGCCCUACUAUAAGCCAUCUUAAACCAGACCUACAUCUUAAACCAGACCUACAAUUAGUAAGUAAUACCUUCUUAGUGAUUCACUGACAUCCAAUUGAGAAUGGAAAGAGGUCAUUAAAUGGG
rnacentral:lncRNA from 1 species